rnacentral:rRNA from 1 species
UACGAAGGGGGCUAGCGUUGCUCGGAAUCACUGGGCGUAAAGCGCACGUAGGCGGCUUUUUAAGUCAGGGGUGAAAUCCUGGAGCUCAACUCCAGAACUGCCUUUGAUACUGGGAAGCUUGAGUCCGGAAGAGGUGAGUGGAACUCCGAGUGUAGAGGUGAAAUUCGUAGAUAUUCGCAAGAACACCAGUGGCGAAGGCGGCUCACUGGCCCGAUACUGACGCUGAGGCACGAAAGCGUGGGGAGCAAACAGG